rnacentral:rRNA from 1 species
UCUUGACCUCGGAUCAGGUAGGGAUACCCGCUGAACUUAAGCAUAUCAAUAAGC